CAAGUCGAACGGUAGCACAGAGAGCUUGCUCUCGGGUGACGAGUGGCGGACGGGUGAGUAAUGUCUGGGAAACUGCCUGAUGGAGGGGGAUAACUACUGGAAACGGUAGCUAAUACCGCAUAACGUCGCAAGACCAAAGAGGGGGACCUUCGGGCCUCUUGCCAUCAGAUGUGCCCAGAUGGGAUUAGCUAGUAGGUGGGGUAACGGCUCACCUAGGCGACGAUCCCUAGCUGGUCUGAGAGGAUGACCAGCCACACUGGAACUGAGACACGGUCCAGACUCCUACGGGAGGCAGCAGUGGGGAAUAUUGCACAAUGGGCGCAAGCCUGAUGCAGCCAUGCCGCGUGUAUGAAGAAGGCCUUCGGGUUGUAAAGUACUUUCAGCGGGGAGGAAGGCGAUGAGGUUAAUAACCUCGUCGAUUGACGUUACCCGCAGAAGAAGCACCGGCUAACUCCGUGCCAGC
rnacentral:rRNA from 1 species